AAGUCGUAACAAGGUAACCGUAGGUGAACCUGCGGUUGGAUCAUUAACAAAAAAAUUGGAAGGUUUGCAGGGGGGCUAACGCGCUCUUGCAAGCUUUUUAAACACCAAUUGUGAACCCGUAUUAUUGUCUCUUUUCCCGGCAGUGUUGUGUGUUGCUGUGCUUGCGCAGCGCGUAUGAUGCGCGGGAAAAACCCUAUUUUAAACCUAAGAAUAUAAUAUCCAUUUUGUCCUUUAAAUAAAAGUUUGAAAUUUUUUUUAAACGUUAAAUCAAUUAAAAAAACAACUUUUGGCAACGGAUCUCUAGGCUCUU
rnacentral:misc_RNA from 1 species